AACUUUGCGCAGAUGCAACAUCGUUACCAAUGAGGUUAAUCCGAGGUGCGAUUAUUGCUAGUUGAAAACUUUAGGUCGCCUGUCCUUGACGGGGUCAUCUCUAGACCGUUUCAUUGGAAUGCUACAUGUUUCUUUUACCUAAAACAU